AAUUUUAAACUACUUUUGUUCAUAGUUUCUGAAACGGGUUUCCUAAACGGUUCUGCUAACAAAUAGAUGAAGCCUAUAUAUUUUCUCCAUUGCUUUUCAAUCAUAUGCAGCUUCUCAUAACAAAUAGAUGAAACCCUAGACAUUUUCUUCAUUGCUUUUCAAUCGUAUGCACUUCUGUUAACAAAUAGAUGAAGCCCUAGAUAUUUUUUCCAUUGCUUUUCACUUGUAUGCAGAAUGGUGCAAGAGGAGAUGCAUUGCUUUGGAAGAUUCUAGUCAAAUGUUGCUCCAGUGUAAGCUGCAUACAACUCAAAGGUAUCAUAUGGGAUUGAUUUCUCCAUAUAGUAGAAAAUGUUUCUGACAGUUUCUUUUUUAAGAAGUUCAACUCUCCAGUAAAAGAUGAGUUGGAGAUUCCAAGCUUCGCAGAUAAAUCAGCAAAAACACUUACAUGAUUCUGAGAGAUUGUUGGGGAGUCCAGAAAAUCUUCCAGAUAUUGCAUCCAUGCCUGAAAGCCUUCUUCAAAUAGUGAUGAGAAGCAAUGGGGAAAAUAUCUAGGGCUUCAUCUAUGCUAGAGAAGUAAAAGGCCCCUUCCAUGUUAAGAUGAAUACAUGAGAUCAACACACUUUUUGUAAUCCUUAAUAUCUUUUCUUUUCUGAGAAAUUGGGCACCAGUUAUGGCAUAUCUUUUCUUUUAGAUGGUUGACUCAGAAGAUCAUACUUUCUAUGAUUCAUUAUGCAAUGCAUUGGCAAAUAGAAGACAUAAUAGUCUCAGAACAUAUUCUCCAGGCCUCUUCAGCGAGUAGUAUAGCUUAAUUAUGUUCAAUGCUGUUUAUGUUUUGUGGCAUGAGUUGGUUUACAACAAGUUUAAUCUGUUCUAUUUGGAGCUGUAUUUGUUCUUGUUGCCCUCUGGCAGAGCUGUGUUAUGUGUUGGAUACAACAAUGUUGCUGCUAAUGUGAAUUUCUUGUUAUGUAGUUGAGACUGUUAUGUUUGCUAUU